GUGUGGAGUUGUUAGGUGUUGAGUGUGUAGGUGUGUAAGUGUGUAGGUGUGUAAGUGUGUAGGUGUGUAGGUGUGUGAGUGUGUAAGUGUGUGAGUGUGUAAGUGUGUAGGUGUGUGAGUGUGUGAGUGUGUAGGUGUGUGAGUGUGUAAGUGUGUAGGUGUGUGAGUGUGUAAGUGUGUAAGUGUGUGAGUGUGUGAGUGUGUGAGUGUGUAAGUGUGUAGGUGUGUGAGUGUGUGAGUGUGUGAGUGUGUAAGUGUGUAGGUGUGUGAGUGUGUGAGUGUGUGAGUGUGUGAGUGGUGCAGUGUGUAAGUGUGUAGGUGUGUGAGUGUGUGAGUGUGUAAGUGUGUGAGUGUGUAGUGUGUAG
ensembl:lncRNA